rnacentral:rRNA from 1 species
CUGGCAGUCAUUCACUGUCCGAGUUGUAAAUUGAAGAGAGUGUCAUCCACACUGGACCAUGUCUAAAUUGUAAUGAUCCACAGUCCUUUGAUGGAGUAUCAGAGAGGGUAAUAAUCCCGUCUUUAACGUGGACUCCCAGUGUUUAUGUGAUGCAUUCUCUCAGAGUCGAGUAGUUUGGGAAUGCUGCUCUAAUGGGAGGUAAACUCCUUCUAAAGCUAAAUAUUGGCGAGAGACCGAUAGCGAACAAGUACCGUGAGGGAAAGAUGAAAAGAACUCUGAAAAGAGAGUCAAACAGAACGUGAAAUUGCUGAAAGGGAAGCGUUUGGAGUCAGAUGCGUCUUCAUGGAAUAACGACUCAGUUAGCAGAGACUGAGGUCAGUGACUUGAAGAUGGGCCAGCACUCACGUAGACCAUUGAAAAAGGGGUCAUUGGAAUGUAGCUCAAUUUAUUGAGUGAUUAUAGCCUUGAUUCAUAUACAAUGUGUGUUAUGUGAGAUUGACAGCACGACUUCA